rnacentral:snoRNA from 1 species
CUUUUGUGGUUGGUUCAUAAGUGUAAUGACUAGGUUUUUUCACGCCAUCAUGAGAGAUGUGUCUUCCUCAAACUUGUUAGGAUGUCAGUACAUUACUCAACUGAU